rnacentral:rRNA from 1 species
UACGUAGGGACCAAGCGUUGUUCGGAUUUACUGGGCGUAAAGGGCGCGUAGGCGGCUUGACAAGUCACUUGUGAAAUCUCCGGGCUUAACUCGGAACGGCCAAGUGAAACUGUCAUGCUAGAGUGCAGAAGGGGCAAUCGGAAUUCUUGGUGUAGCGGUGAAAUGCGUAGAUAUCGGGAGGAACACCAGUGGCGAAGGCGAGUCCCUGGACAAUUCCUGACGCUGAGGCACGAAAGCCAGGGGAGCAAACAGG